UCGGUUUCAAAAAAGUAUGCUUGUUGUUUAGACAUGUGGCGUAUUCUUUUGGUUAUGAGUUGGAAAGCUUAAUUUCAGUUGGUUCAUACCUUGUUGAUUAUUUUGUAAUGGUUUAAUAUUUGUAAACAAUAUUAGUUUGUUUCUGAUUUUUUUAAUUGUAAAUCGUGCAUAUUGUAAAUAUUGUAGAUUUCAUUGAGUUGUUA
rnacentral:lncRNA from 1 species